rnacentral:tRNA from 1 species
GGGUGCGUAGCUCAGUUGGAUAGAGCAAUGCCCUUCUAAGGCAUGUGUCCGGGGUUCGAAUCCCUGCGCACUCACCA